CCUACGGGGGGCAGCAGUGGGGAAUAUUGGACAAUGGGCGAAAGCCUGAUCCAGCCAUGCCGCGUGUGUGAAGAAGGCCUUCGGGUUGUAAAGCACUUUCAGUGGGGAAGAAAGCCUUGGGGCUAAUACCCUCGAGGAAGGACAUCACCCACAGAAGAAGCACCGGCUAACUCCGUGCCAGCAGCCGCGGUAAUACGGAGGGUGCGAGCGUUAAUCGGAAUUACGGGGCGUAAAGCGCGCGUAGGCGGUCUGAUAAGCCGGUUGUGAAAGCCCCGGGCUCAACCUGGGAACGGCAUCCGGAACUGUCAGGCUAGAGUGCAGGAGAGGAAGGUAGAAUUCCCGGUGUAGCAGUGAAAUGCGUAGAGAUCGGGAGGAAUACCAGUGGCGAAGGCGGCCUUCUGGACUGACACUGACGCUGAGGUGCGAAAGCGUGGGUAGCAAACAGGAUUAGAUACCCCAGUAGUC
rnacentral:rRNA from 1 species